UUUAUCUCCUAGUUAGCUGGGACCACCUGUCCCCAGGACGGUUGAAUUCAUUUGACUCACGUGAAAAAAAAAAAACAACUUGCUGAUAGCCUGAUGGAUAACACUUCAGCACAGCAAAGUGAAGUUUC
rnacentral:lncRNA from 1 species